rnacentral:rRNA from 1 species
GCGGCCUAGGAUAGCUCUGCGGCCUAUCAGGUUGUAGCGAGGGUAACGUCCUCGCUAGCCUACGACGGGUAUGGGUGUUGGGAGACAUCGCCCAGAGAUGGAUUCUGAGACACGAAUCCAGGCCCUACGGGGCGCAGCAGGCGCGAAAACUGCACAAUGUGGGCAACCACGAUGCGGGAAGCCCAAGUGCCAGCGCUAUGCGUUGGCUGUCCUCAACCGUUCAUUGGUUGGGAAGAAAGUGCUGGGUAAGACGGGUGCCAGCCGCCGCGGUAAUACCCGCAGCACAAGUGGUGGUCAUUAUUAUUGGGCCUAAAGCGUCCGUAGCAUGUUUGUUAAAUGCCUGGGUAAAUCGAUGCGCUUAACGCAUCGAAUUCCGGGUAGACUGGCAAACUCGAGACCGGGAGAGGUGUAGGGUACUCGAGGGGUAGGGGUAAAAUCCUGUAAUCCUUCGGGGACGACCAGUGGCGAAGGCGCUACACUAGAACGGCUCUGACUGUGAGGGACGAAGCCCUGGGGCGCAAACCGGAUUAGAUACCCGGGUAGUCCAGGGUGUAAACGCUGCGGACUUGGUGUCGGUGAUCCUACGAGGGUUGCCGGUGCCGUAGAGAAGUUGUUUAGUCCGCCGCCUGGGGAGUACGGUCGCAAGACUGAAACUUAAAGGAAUU